ensembl:lncRNA
AAUUCAGAAAUGCAUUCUUUAAUUUCCAGAUACUUGAGGCAUUCCCAAAUUGCUUUCUUUUAUUGAUUUCUAAUUUAAUUGCAUUCUGAUCAGAGAAUAUAUUCUGUGUGAUUUAAAUUUCCUUAACUUUUUUGAGUCUUGUUUUAUGGCCUAGCUUAAGGUCUAUCUGGAGAACGCUCCGUGUACUUUCGAAGACAAUGUGUUCUAUUGUUAGGGAGAGGUAUUCUAUAGAUGUCAGAUAUGUCAAGUUGGUUGAUGCUAAUGUUCUGGUCUUCUGUAUCCUUGCUUAUUUUCUGUCUAGUUGUUUUCUGAAUUAGUGGAGUAUUGAAGUCUCCAACUAUCAUGAUUGAAUAAUCUUUUUCUCUUUAAUUCUGUCAGCUUUUUCAUGUAUUUUGGAGCUCAGUUAGUAGGAACAUAUACGUUUAUAAUUAUUUCUUUCUUAAAACCAUUAUGAAAUGUCCCGCUUUGUCUCUAGCAAUAGUUUUUGGUCUUAUAAUCUAUUUUGACUGAUAGUAUAACCACUCCAGCUCUCUUCUAGUCACUUUUUCCAUCCUUUUACUUUCAGUCUAUUUGCGUCUUUCAAUCCAAAGUGUAUUUCCCCUAGAAAGCAUAGACCUGGAUCUGAUUAUCUAGUCUGUUAAUCUCUGCCUUUUGACUGAAGUGCUUAAUCCAUUUACAUUUAACCUAACAUCGAUAAGGUUUGAUUUAUGCUUGCCAUUUCUCUACUUUAUGUCCUGGGCUUUUUUGUUCUUUUUCUUUUAUUGCCCUCUUUCAUGUUAAAUAGAUAUUUUCUAGUAUACUCUCUUAAUUUCUUCGUUUUUUGUUUUGUUUUUACUGUACUUUUUUUGUUAUUUUCUUCUUGGUUGCUCUAAGGAUUUUUUUUUCUUUUUUGCAGGAAAGGAUUCACCCCGAGCUGACAUCUGUUGCCAGUCUGCCUCUUUUUCUUCUCCUUCUCCCCAAAGCCUGAGUGCAUGAUCCUGGUUGUAAGUCCAUCUAGUUCUUCUAUGUGAGCUGCCACCACAGCAUCACAACUGACAGACGGGGUGGUGUGCACACAACUUUAAUCACCAGACCAUCAGGGCCGGCUCUAAGGAUUAUAAUAGGAAUCUUCACUUAUUACAGUCUACUUCAGAUUAAUACUUAUUAAAUCCAGCAAAAUAUAGAAACUUCACUGCAGUGGAGCUUCAUUUCCUUACCCUCUGUGUUAGUGUCAUACGUAUUACAUCUUUAUAUGUUAUAAACCAAAAUAGUUUUAGAAAUGUUGUUUUAAGCAAUUGUCUGUCUUUGUUUUUUAAGAUUGGCAUCUGAGCUAACAUCUGCUGCCCAUCUUUUUUUUCUUCUUCUUCUUCUCCCCAAAGCCCCCCAGUACACAGCUGUACAUUCUAAUUGUAGGCCCUUCUGGCUCUGCUAUGUGGGACAACGCCUCAGCAUGGCUUGAUGAGUGAUGCUAGGUCCACGCCCAGGAUCUAAACCGGCAAAACCCCGGGCUGCCGAAGUGGAGCAGGCAAACUUAACCACUCAGCCAUGGGGCCAGACCCACAACUGUCUUUUAAGUUAGGUAAGAGAAAAAUGUUGCCAGUCUUUCAUGUUUACCCAUGUAAUUACUUCUUUCAAUGCUCUUUAUUUCUCGAUGUGGAUUUAAGUCAUCUUCUCAUGUCACUUAUGUUCAGCCCC